CGGCGGACGGGUGAGUAACACGUGGAUAACCUACCUAUAAGACUGGGAUAACUUCGGGAAACCGGAGCUAAUACCGGAUAAUAUAUUGAACCGCAUGGUUCAAUAGUGAAAGACGGUUUUGCUGUCACUUAUAGAUGGAUCCGCGUCGCAUUAGCUAGUUGGUAAGGUAACGGCUUACCAAGGCAACGAUGCGUAGCCGACCUGAGAGGGUGAUCGGCCACACUGGAACUGAGACACGGUCCAGACUCCUACGGGAGGCAGCAGGA
rnacentral:rRNA from 1 species